rnacentral:snRNA from 1 species
AGAUGGGAGGGUGACCUGCAUGUAACAUCUGUGACCUAAUUGAUGGCCAAGGUUAAUUUUAACUGACAGAGCUAGUUAGGUAGGUGUUCCUUUCCUCCCACACUAUACCAUGUGUGCCCCUGCCAAAGCUGAUGCCUUGGUCAGAGAAUGACCUUCCCCAAUAGAGGAAAACCAUUCUUCUAUUGAAGGUAUACAAGCAGCUGAACUCUCAGCUAGAAUCUCCAAAAAAAAGUCUCAAAAUUGGAGGACUCAAACUUCCUGAUAUCAAAACUUACUACAAAGCUACAGUAAUCAAUACAGUGUACACUGUCUU